CUACGUGCCAGCAGCCGCGGUAAUACGGAAGGUCCAGGCGUUAUCCGGAUUUAUUGGGUUUAAAGGGAGCGUAGGCGGAUUAUUAAGUCAGUGGUGAAAGACGGUGGCUCAACCAUCGUUAGCCAUUGAAACUGGUAGUCUUGAGUGCAGACAGGGAUGCUGGAACUCGUGGUGUAGCGGUGAAAUGCUUAGAUAUCACGAUGAACUCCGAUCGCGAAGGCAGGUGUCCGGGCUGCAACUGACGCUGAGGCUCGAAAGUGUGGGUAUCAAACAGGAUUAGAUACCCUGGUAGUCCACACAGUAAACGAUGUAUACUCGCGGUUUGCGAUAUAYWGUAAGCCGCCAAGCGAAAGCAUUAAGUAUACCACCUGGGGAGUACGCCGGCAACGGUGAAACUCAAAGGAAUUGACGGGGGCCCGCACAAGCGGAGGAACAUGUGGUUUAAUUCGAUGAUACGCGAGGAACCUUACCCGGGCUUGAACUAACGGUGACGAAUCUAGAGAUAG
rnacentral:rRNA from 1 species